GACGAACCGUCCAAACGUUAUUCGGAAUCACUGGGCUUAAAGGGUGCGUAGGCGGCCCUGAAAGUUGGGUGUGAAAUCCCUCGGCUCAACCGAGGAACUGCGCCCAAAACUACAGGGCUUGAGGAAGACAGAGGUGAGUGGAACUUGCGGUGGAGCGGUGAAAUGCGUUGAUAUCGCAAGGAACACCAGUGGCGAAAGCGACUCACUGGGUCUUUUCUGACGCUGAGGCACGAAAGCUAGGGGAGCGAAGAGG
rnacentral:rRNA from 1 species